rnacentral:piRNA from 1 species
UCCGCCAGUCACCAGUCCCACGAGGGUCUCC